rnacentral:rRNA from 1 species
AUUGAACGCUGGCGGCAUGCUUUACACAUGCAAGUCGAACGGCAGCGCGGGCUUCGGCCUGGCGGCGAGUGGCCAACGGGUGAGUAAUACAUCGGAACGUGCCCAGCAGUGGGGGAUAGCUCGGCGAAAGCCGGAUUAAUACCGCAUACGACCUGAGGGUGAAAGCGGGGGAUCUUCGGACCUCGCGCUAUUGGAGCGGCCGAUGGCAGAUUAGCUAGUUGGUGGGGUAAAGGCCUACCAAGGCGACGAUCUGUAGCUGGUCUGAGAGGACGACCAGCCACACUGGAACUGAGACACGGCCCAGACUCCUACGGGAGGCAGCAGUGGGGAAUUUUGGACAAUGGGCGAAAGCCUGACCCAGCAAUGCCGCGUGUGUGAUGAAGGCCUUCGGGUUGUAAAGCACUUUUGGCGGGAACGAAAAGGACUGUGCCAAUACCACGGUUCGAUGACGGUACCCGCAGAAUAAGCACCGGCUAACUACGUG